rnacentral:rRNA from 1 species
GAUGAACGCUGGCGGCGUGCUUAACACAUGCAAGUCGAACGGAAAGGCCUAAGCUUUCUUCGGUACUCGAGUGGCGAACGGGUGAGUAACACGUGGGUGAUCUGCCCUGUACUUCGGGAUAAGCUUUGGAAACUGGGUCUAAUACCGGAUAUGACGAUCUCUUGGAUGGGGUUUUGGAAUGCUUUUGCGGUUUGGGUUGAGCUCGCGGCCUAUCGGCUUGUUUGUGGGGUAAUGGCCUACCAAGGCGUCCACGGGUAGCCGGCCUGAGAGGGUGUACGGCGACAUUGAGACUGAGAGAAGGCACAGACACCGACGGGAGGGAGCAGGGGGGAAUAUUGAACAAUGGGCGCAAGCCUGAUGAAGAGAGGCCGCGUGGGGGAUGACGGCGUUCGGGUUGUAAACUCCUGUUGCGAGCGACGAAGCCUUUUGGUGACGGUAGGUUGAGAAGAAGCACCGGCUAACUACGUG